rnacentral:lncRNA from 1 species
AUGCAGCCGGGUGAUGGUAGCCGGUUGUCGCCCUGCAGAUCAGCUCGAGUGGAUGCUGCGGCUGUGUGGGGCGUCUGUGGUCGGAGAGCUCUCGGCGCUGCCCCUCAGUACUGGAGCUCAGUCGGUCGUAGUCAUGCAGCCGGAGGCCUGGACGGAGGACGCGGACUUCCUUGCCCUCGGACAGCUGUGCCAGGUGCCCGUGGUGACCAGAGACUGGGUGCUGGACAGCGUAGCCCUCCACCAGCGCCAGGAGCUGGAUGCCUACCUCAUCCCCCAGGACCCCCACAGACCCCGCUGACUCCGCCCAUCCAAGGGUCUGGGACCACAGGACCCCGAGGAUGCCCUUCAGAAGUGGCCUUGGCCGGGCACGGUGUCACUAUUGCAUGCCUGUCAUCCCAGACCUCAGGGAUGCUGAGGCAGGAGGAUUGCAAGUAUCAGCCCAUCUGGGCAACUUAGCUAGACACUGUCAAAAAAUGAAAAGGGACUGAGGAUGGAGCUCAGUGGGAGGGGGCUGGGCUCUGCAGGCGGGGGAGCCCCUCUGACUCUUCCUGAAGUCCUGGUUCCAGAUGUCUCCUCCGCAUGGCCUGAGAAGAGCUUCCGGCCACCAAGUGUCUCUUAAAGAUGUUCUGUUUCAGGGCUCCUUUUGAAACCUGCACAGAACUGUGGCAAUUUUUCACCUGCAAAGCACUAAGAACCAUUUAGCCCCACAAGCAACCAAGACACAGGUUCCUUUCCCUGGGCAGAGGCGGGUUGGCGGGGUCCCUGGGUUUGUCUCAGCCCUGUUUGCAUCCAGCCCUGGUUGGGCCUGAGUGGGAGGAGCUGGGGGCCUGAGACCGACCUAAAACUGGGCAGGCACAUAAUGGAGGUGAAUGUGGGGCUCGGGUUCCUUAGAGGAGACCUCCAAAAAUCUACCAGAUGUGCUCUGCAAGAGUUCUUUUCCCAGGAACCAGGGUCCAAGGAGAGGCUUCUCGUUCCCCAGUAGAGGCAAAUCAGAAUGUUUGUUCUCAUCUCCCGGGCAUGUAACCCGUCCCUCUUAACAUCAGCUCUGGCAUGAAUAUAUCAUGGUGCUGAGGGACGGAUCCCACCGGGAAAGGAGCUGUUCCACUCUUUGAGGUAAUUUCUUCCCCCUUGCUUCCCAUUGCUGAACGUUACAGCUUCAUAAAUAAUUUGCUGAAGAAGAGAAAGUGGUUUUCAUAAAGUCCUUAUCCAGAGCCGUUUCUGGUGUGGGAAGGACUGGGUCUUGCCUAGCCCCGGUGUGCAAGGGCAGGCUAGACCUGAUUGUAUGAAACACGUUUGUAAGUGUGCUGUUAACACUGCAAAUAAACUCGGUAGCAAACGCUUCCACCAAGAAUGACUGUUGUGUUUUUGUUUUUGUUUUUUGAGACAGGGUUUUGCUAUGUAGUUUAUUCUGGCUUUGUACUCAGGGUGAUCCUCCUGAUCAGCCUCCCGAGUGCUGGGAUUACAGACAUGUGCCACCAUGCGAGGCCGAGAAUGGCUGUUGUUGAGAUUUAGACUGCAGACAGCCUUUUCUCUGUGGCCCUGGGGAUGAAACGCAGGGCCGUCCUGCUGAGCUGCAUCCCAGCCCUCCCCCGUUUUUUUUCAUUUGCAGCCUCAUCUGUAAAAUGGGGCUUCGGAUACCAUCUACCUUUAGGGUGACAGGCAGCUUAAAUACCUGCCACAUUUCUAUUUCUUCCAUAGCAGAUCAUCACAACUGUGGCCGCAGCAAGGUGGGUUUAUCACUUCUUGCUUUGGGAUGGGCCAGGUGGCGCUUGGUGACAGCUCCCGUUAGCGAGCUGGGGCCCACAUUCCUGUCUCUGGCAGCCCGCAGCCUCCGCCCCUCACAUACAUCUCCAGCGGAGGGCCCAGGUUGGCCUGGGAACCCAGGGCACCUCCCGGCUCCAGGUGCGUUUCCUCAGUGAUGGCCGCCCUGUCCCUUCCCAGCCAUAUCUGGAUGAGGGAGGGACUCGGGGACCAGGAGGUGGCAGGACUGUCCUCUGCUCCCCUGCACAGCUGUCCUGACCCACACCGCCUGGAGCCCAGCCCUCCCACUGCCAGGUCUGAGGCCUGGGGCCUGGGGUGGGCAGCGCAGAGGAAAUGGGUGGGUUUUAUCCCAGCCUUCCCCCCAGCCCUAGGAACUGUUUUUUUUUUUCCUCGUUUGGAAAAUGGGACCUGACACUCAGGUUCCUCACUGGUAAAGGUUUCCACAGCUAAGCCAGGCGCACACCUGUAAUCCUGGCACACUGGGAGGCUGAGGCAGGAGGAUCACAAGUUCGAGCCCAGCCUAGGUGAUGUAGCAAGACGCUGUCUCAAAAUGGGCUGUGGAUCUAGUUCAGUGCAAACUGGGUUUGAUUUUUUUUUUUUAAAUAGUAAAAGUUUUCUUUUUUUUUAUUCCUGUAAUUCCAGGUUCUUGGGAGGCUGAAGCAGAAGGAUCCAGGGCAGCCCAGGCAACUCCAUGAACCUUGUCUCAAGAUGAAAAGUGGACAGGGCGGAUGUAACUCAGUGGUAGAGAUCUAGUGUACUGUGUCAGCCCUGGCCUUAGUCACCUGCACAAGGCCGGUGUGAUUGUCCCUUGGGGUCUUCCUGCCAGCCAGCGGCUCGGCUGCCCCUCCCACCCCGACUGGAAGACGUUGCUCCAGCCCAGACUCCUGCUUGUCCCACGGCCCCUUGCCUGUUUCCCAAAAUGGACCUCAAAAAGAACAGGGCUGCAGGUUAUCUCCUGAAACACAGACAGCGCCAACCAAGCAUCAGCCGGGAAACCCAGAGAGGGAAAGGCAUGGGGAUGGGAAGCCAGCAAGGAGCUGGCGCCCAGGAUGGAGCGGCGAAGGCUGUGCGUGCGUGUGGCACAGUAAGGGCGGCUGGGCCUGUGAUGCCCGAGCCCAGGCCUCUGCCCCGUGCUGGGGUGCUCAGCUCCUGCAAGCAGCCCGUAGAUCUGCCCAGAGCAAGGAGAAAACUGAAGAAAUGAAUCUGGGCUCUGGACAAAUAGAAAGCUAGGGAGAGCUGGAAACAGGCAGCUCCUGCCCAGAGCAGGGACUGGGGAGGGAGGGUCAAGAAAACCUCAGCAAUGGUUGGAGGGGCUGGAAGGAAUGAGGUUGGAGAGACCUGGACAUGGUGCCUUGGGGAGUGGGAACUUUGCUUUUGGGGGUGUUUGUUUUCUUUUGAGAGAGGGUCUUGCUGGGUAGCCCAGGCUGGCCUCAAACUCCCAGUGAUUCUCCUGGCUCAGCCUCCUGAGUGCUGGGAUGACAGGUGUAGGCCACCACGCUGAUUCCGAGUGGGAAUUCUGAAGACCUCGUUCUCAGUUUAGUGCAGUGGUUCUCAAAACAGCCGGGCCAGAGGCCCCCAGGUGGGAGCUGCAGGAUCAUCCGGGAACCUGUUGGGGAUCCGGGAUCCCAGGCCUCGCCACUCAGGUGGAGCCCUUGGAGCUGCCAAGGUGCAAGUCUGGGAACCAGGGCCGAGAGCAAGGUGCUGCCAAUGGCUGCAGGGUCCCCGAGGUGCGUGGGGAUCACAGCCUGGGCCGGGGCUUAUCUCAUCUCCCAGGCUGCAGCGCUGCCUCUGCUCCUGCUAACGGCCCUGCAAGCAAACACAAAGCAAAGGACAAAGAUUAAAUUAUAUGAGCACCGUAGGAGCAGAAGGGCCGAACUGCUUGAGAAAGAAACCAGCUCUUGGCUUAGGAGGUUUUAUUAAUAUUUAAAUUGCAGUGAAGCCCCAGCUGCCGCCUU